GCCUGGGUGGCUCAGUUGGUUGAGCAUCCAACUUCUGAUUUUGGCUCAGAUCAUGAUCCCAGGAUCAUGGGAUUGAGUCCCAUGUCAGGCU
rnacentral:tRNA from 1 species